rnacentral:rRNA from 1 species
CAUGGUCUUAGCUUGCUAAGGCCGAUGGCGACCGGCGCACGGGUGAGUAACACGUAUCCAACCUGCCCACCACUUGGGGAUAACCUUGCGAAAGUAAGACUAAUACCCAAUGAUAUCUCUAGAAGACAUCUGAAAGAGAUUAAAGAUUUAUCGGUGAUGGAUGGGGAUGCGUCUGAUUAGCUUGUUGGCGGGGUAACGGCCCACCAAGGCAACGAUCAGUAGGGGUUCUGAGAGGAAGGCCCCCACAAUGGGACUGAGACACGGCCCAUACUCC